rnacentral:rRNA from 1 species
CCUACGGGCUGCAGCAGUGGGGAAUUUUCCGCAAUGGGCGAAAGCCUGACGGAGCAAUGCCACGUGGAGGUAGAAGGCCCACGGGUCGUGAACUUCUUUUCCCGGAGAAGAAGCAAUGACGGUAUCUGGGGAAUAAGCAUCGGUUAACUCUCUGCCAGCAGCCGCGGUAAUACAGAGGAUGCAAGCGUUAUCCGGAAUGAUUGGGCGUAAAGCGUCUGUAGGUGGCUUUUAAGUCCGCCGUCAAAUCCCAGGGCUCAGCCCUGGACAGGCGGUGGAAACUACUAAGCUGGAGUACGGUAGGGGCAGAGGGAAUUUCCGGUGGAGCGGUGAAAUGCGUAGAGAUCGGAAAGAACACCAACGGCGAAAGCACUCUGCUGGGCCGACACUGACACUGAGAGACGAAAGCUAGGGGAGCGAAUGGGAUUAGAUACCCCCGUAGUC